rnacentral:rRNA from 1 species
UGCUCCCUGUUGUCAGCGGCGGACGGGUGAAUAACACGUGGGUAAACCUGCCUGUAAGACUGGGAUAACUCCGGGAAACCGGGGCUAAUACCGGAUGCUUGAUUGAACCGCAUGGUUCAAUUAUAAAAGGUGGCUUUUACCUCCCCUUACAAAGGGCCCCCGGCGCAUUACUAUUGGGUGAGGUAACGCUCACCAGGCAACAAUCGUACCGACCGAGAGGUGAUCGGCCAGCUGGGACUGGAAACCGGCCAAAUCUACGGAGGAGCAGUAGGAAUCUUCGAAUGGACGAAAGUCUGACGAACCACGCCCGUGAGUGUGAAGGUUUCGGAUCGUAAAACUCUGUGUAAGGAGAACAGUACCGUUCGAAUAGG